UACGGGGGGAGCAAGCGUUGUUCGGAUUUACUGGGCGUAAAGGGCGCGUAGGCGGUCGUGACAAGUCACUUGUGAAAUCUCCGGGCUUAACUCGGAACGGUCAAGUGAUACUGUCGGACUAGAGUACAGAAGGGGCAACUGGAAUUCUCGGUGUAGCGGUGAAAUGCGUAGAUAUCGAGAGGAACACCUGCGGCGAAGGCGGGUUGCUGGGCUGAUACUGACGCUGAGACGCGAAAGCCAGGGGAGCGAACGGG
rnacentral:rRNA from 1 species